rnacentral:rRNA from 1 species
GGAUUAGAUACCCCACUAUGCUUUGCCCUAAACAUUGAUAGCCUUAUACAACCACUAUCCGCCCGGGAACUACGAGCAACAGCUUAAAACCCAAAGGACUUGGCGGUGCUUUAGACCCACCUAGAGGAGCCUGUUCUAAAACCGAUAACCCCCGUUCAACCUCACCUUUUCUUGUUCUCUCCGCCUAUAUACCGCCGUCGUCAGCUUACCCUAUGAAGGCCCCUUAGUAAGCACAAUUAGUACAACCCAAAACGUCAGGUCGAGGUGUAGCGUAUGGAAAGGGAAGAAAUGGGCUACAUUCCCUAUUACAGGUAAUUACGGAUAAUAUUACUGAAACGUGUAUCUAGAAGGAGGAUUUAGCAGUAAGCAGAAAAUAGAGUGUUCUGCUGAAACCGGCCCUGAAGCGCGCACACACCGCCCGUCA